CCCGUCCCUCACGUGGGCUCGCAGCUGGCCACGCCGUCGCCGCGGAAGCCGCGCUGGCAGCGGCACUGGAAGCUGCCGGGGCUGUUGUGGCAGCGCGCCCGCGGGUGGCACCGCGCCAGCCCCAGCGCGCACUCGUCCACGUCGGGGCACGCGCCGUACCACCACCGGCCGCGCCCGCGGUCACUCUGGUCACUCUGGUCACUCUGGUCACUCUGGUCACUCUGGGGGUCAGCCUGACCCUCAGCCUGACCCUCAGCCCGAUGGUCACUCUGGUCACUCUGGUCACUCUGGGGGUCAGCCUGACCCUCAGCCCGAUGGUCACUCCGAUGGUCACUCUGGUCACUCUGGGGGUCAGCCUGACCCUCAGCCUGACCCUCAGCCCGAUGGUCACUCCCAUGGUCACUCUGGGGGUCAGCCUGACCCUCAGCCCGAUGGUCACUCCCAUGGUCACUCUGGUCACUCUGGGGGUCAGCCUGACCCUCAGCCUGAUGGUCACUCCCAUGGUCACUCUGGUCACUCUGGGGGUCAGCCUGACCAUCAGCCUGACGGUCAUUCUGAUGGUCACUCCGAUGGUCAGCCUGACCCUCAGCCUGAUGGUCACUCCGAUGGUCACUCGGCUGGUCACUCUGGUCACCCGCGGGGUCAGCCUGACCCUCAGCCUGAUGGUCAUUCUGAUGGUCACUCCCAUGGUCACUCUGGGGGUCAGCCUGACCCUCAGCCUGAUGGUCAUUCUGAUGGUCACUCAGAUGGUCACUCUGGUCACUCAGCUGGUCAGCCUGACCCUCAGCCUGAUGGUCACUCGGCUGGUCACUUUGGGGGUCAGCCUGACUGUCAGCCUGGCCGUCAUUCUGAUGGUCACUCCGAUGGUCAGCCUGACCCUCAGCCUGAUGGUCACUCCGAUGGUCACCCAGCUGGUCACUCGGCUGGUCAGCCCAGUGGUCAUUCUGAUGGUCACUCAGCUGGCCACUCUGCUGGUCCUUCUGAUGGUCACUCCAGUGGUCACUCUGCUGGUCAGACUGGUGGUCACUUUGGUGGUCACUCUGCUGGUCACCGUGCUGGUCGUUCUGCUGGCCACCUUCCUGGUCACUCAGGUGGUCACUGUGGUCACUGUGGUCACUGUGGUCACUCCGCUGGUCACUCUGCUGGCUGCUCUGAUGGUCAUUCUGCUGGUCACUUUGGUGGUCACUCUGCUGGUCACUCUGCUGGCUGCUCUGAUGGUCACUCUGCUGGUCACUCGGCUGGUCACUCAGCUGGUCACUCUGCUGGCUGCUCUGAUGGUCACUCUGCUGGUCACUUUGGUGGUCACUCUGCUGGUCACUCUGCUGGCUGCUCUGAUGGUCACUCUGGCGGUCACUCAGCUGGUCAUGGUGAUGGUCACCCAGCUGGUCACUCAGCUGGUCAGCCCAGUGGUCAUUCUGAUGGUCACUCAGCUGGCCACUCUGCUGGUCAUUCUGAUGGUCACUCCAGUGGCCACUCUGCUGGUCAUUCUGAUGGUCACUUUGGUGGUCACUCUGCUGGUCACCGUGCUGGUCGUUCUGCUGGCCACCUUCCUGGUCACUCAGGUGGUCACUCUGGUCACUGUGGUCACUGUGGUCACUCUGCUGGUCACUCUGGUCACUCAGGUGGUCACUCAGGUGGUCACUCUGGUCACUCAGGUGGUCACUGUGGUCACUCAGGUGGUCACUCUGGUCACUGUGGUCACUGUGGUCACUGAGGUGGUCACUCUGGUCACUCAGGUGGUCACUCAGGUGGUCACUCUGGUCACUGUGGUCACUGUGGUCACUCAGGUGGUCAAUCUGGUCACUCAGGUGGUCACUCUGGUCACUCUGGUCACUCUGGUCACUCAGGUGGUCACUCUGGUCACUCAGGUGGUCACUCAGGUGGUCACUGUGGUCACUGUGGUCACUCUGGUCACUCAGGUGGUCACUCUGGUCACUGUGGUCACUGUGGUCACUCCGCUGGUCACUCUGGUCACUCAGGUGGUCACUGUGGUCACUCAGGUCACUCAGGGCCACCGAGCAGUUGGGGAAGUCCCGGGGACCCGCGAAGUCGCCCUCCAAGCAGCUGGGAGAGAAAAUUCGGGAAUUUUGGGAAAUUUUGGGAAUUUUUGGGGGGUUUGGGUGGUAAGACGGGGGAAAAGGGGAAAAAAAUUGAAAUUG
rnacentral:lncRNA from 1 species